rnacentral:rRNA from 1 species
UUGUCGAGCCUGCACUAGCAGAAGACCCGUGAACUUGUUUUGAGUAUGCUUUGGCAGGUCAAACU